rnacentral:rRNA from 1 species
AUGGGACCUACGAGCCAUCAAAUAUCACCCCGGACCAGUCCAUUGCAAUCAAGGUUAAAGAAAGCAAAACACUCUCCAAAGCAUUCUGAAUCUAGCACGUUGAGACCUUCGAGCCCCCUUAGACGACAUGUAGACAAGAGACAAACAAUUUACAAGGGGACAACCAUCGGGUGCAUUCUCGCCACAGUCACUACUCCAUAUGAGUGUGUGUUGCAACUUGUCAAUCUUAUUCCUCACGCGCUUAGGAAACAGGAAGAUCGCCAUGAUCAACAAAAGAGUGUAGGUGUCCCUUUGCACAACUGUGUUGAUGUCAAGAGAGAGAGAGAGAGACACACACACAGAGAGAGAGAGAGAGAGAGAGAAAUCGGUGUUAUUUUCAUGCCAUGGAGCGAGAAACUAUAA